AGUGAACGCUGGCGGUAGGCCUAACACAUGCAAGUCGAACGGCAGCACUGUAAGAGCUUGCUCUUACGGGUGGCGAGUGGCGGACGGGUGAGGAAUACAUCGGAAUCUACUUUUUCGUGGGGGAUAACGUAGGGAAACUUACGCUAAUACCGCAUACGACCUACGGGUGAAAGCAGUGGAUCUUCGGACCUUGCGCGAUUGAAUGAGCCGAUGUCGGAUUAGCUAGUUGGCGGGGUAAAGGCCCACCAAGGCGACGAUCCGUAGCUGGUCUGAGAGGAUGAUCAGCCACACUGGAACUGAGACACGGUCCAGACUCCUACGGGAGGCAGCAGUGGGGAAUAUUGGACAAUGGGCGCAAGCCUGAUCCAGCCAUACCGCGUGGGUGAAGAAGGCCUUCGGGUUGUAAAGCCCUUUUGUUGGGAAAGAAAAGCAGCAGGUUAAUACCCCGCUGUUCCGACGGUACCCAAAGAAUAAGCACCGGCUAACUUCGUG
rnacentral:rRNA from 1 species